UACGUAGGUGGCAAGCGUUAUCCGGAAUUAUUGGGCGUAAAGCGCGCGCAGGUGGUUUCUUAAGUCUGAUGUGAAAGCCCACGGCUCAACCGUGGAGGGUCAUUGGAAACUGGGAGACUUGAGUGCAGAAGAGGAAAGUGGAGUUCCAUGUGUAGCGGUGAAAUGCGUAGAGAUAUGGAGGAACACCAGUGGCGAAGGCGACUCUUUGGGCUGUAACUGACGCUGAGGCGCGAAAGCGUGGGGAGCAAACAGG
rnacentral:rRNA from 1 species